rnacentral:misc_RNA from 1 species
GUUUAACCACCAUCAAUAACCACUAUAUAAUGGAUGAGAAGACUCGGUGAACAAAUGACAUCGGAGCGUAAUACAUCGGGUGCAACAUGUCAGCGAUUCUGGUGUCAGCCGUAAUAACUUUUGUGGUCUUAAUAAUAACUCAGCUGUUAAUCAAAUUACUGAGAGUGAAGUAUGCUUACAAGGGAUUUCCCGAGCCUCUUGAAAAUAAGCACUGGGUACUAGGUCAUCUCCCAAUUUUUUCGGGUAAGAUAAAUACGCAGACGAUUAUAGCCAAGUUUCUAGAAUGGACGGCCAAGUACCCAAAGAUCUUCGUCCUAUGGUUUGGUCCCUUCGACCCUAAAGUGGUGCUUAAUCAUCCUGACACCAUCAAGAAAGUCCUUAAAACCGCAGAUCCCAAACCGGUUGGCUUUGGCCAGGCGUACAGGUACGGACUGCCUUGGUUAGGAGAGGGACUCCUAAUAGCGGGGGGUGCCAAAUGGAAGCGCUCCAGACGUCUGCUCACUCCUGCCUUUCAUUUUGACAUCCUGAAACCUUACGUUAAGAUCUACAAGUCGUGCGCAGAUAUUCUAGCGCGAAACAUAGAAAUCUCAGGUGAGAAGAACGAGAGCGUGGAGAUCGUCAGCCUUGUCAGUGCCUGUACCCUGGACAUCAUUCUACUGUGUGCUUUUUCGUACAAGACUGACUGUCAAAACAUCUGCGGAACCACGCACCCGUACAUAAAAGCCGUGAAUGAGAUCGCAGCUACAUGGAAUCACAGAAACAGGGCAACAUAUGUACCGAAAUAGAGGUGGGAAGAAAACCCUGGAUGUCGCCCGAUGCCAAUGGCAGAGGACAACAAAGCACUCCAAGGACUCCCUGGCUGUAUCCGGACCUUAUAUUUUACCGAACGACAGAAGGGAAGAGUUUUAAAGCCAAGUGUGAUUACGUCCACCAAGUAGCUGAGGAUGUGAUAGACAAAAGACGCAACACAUUGGAAAGCCAGGAUAUCUCAUCACAAAGGUAUUUGGAUUUCUUAGACAUCCUGUUGACAGCUAAAGAUGAGGACGGAAAAGGAAUGUCAAAAGAGGACAUUCGGAAUGAAGUGGACACAUUCAUGUUCGAAGGUCAUGAUACUACGGCUAGCGCCAUCUCUUGGAUUCUAUAUUCCUUGGCGGAGAAUCCCGAAUAUCAGCGAAAAUGUCAAGAAGAAAUCGAUAAAGUCAUCAGUGAGACAAAAUCUGGACAACUUGAGUGGAAGGACCUGGGUAGGCUGGAGUACCUGACACAGUGCAUCAAAGAAGGAAUGCGCCUCCACUCCCCUGUUCCUGGGAUCAUGAGGGAAAUCCAGGCUCCCAUCAAAGUGGAGGACCUCGAGAUCCCUGCCAAGGCCAAUGUCAUGAUCAGUAUCAACAGUCUUCACCAUAACCCCACAGUGUGGGGGGAGGACCAUGACCAGUUUAAACCCGAGAGGUUCUCUCCAGAAAACACCGAGGAAAGAGACUCGUUCGCCUUCUGUCCAUUUUCUGCAGGUCCAAGAAACUGUAUAGGUCAGUCUUUUGCCAUGAGUGAAGAACGCACUGUGCUGGCUACACUGCUUCAAAAGUUCACCUUUUCUGUUGACAAAACACAUAAAGUUGAGAAGCAGAUUUCUGCUGUUAUGCGGGCUAAAGAUGGAAUUAAACUGUUCGCCUACAAAAGAUAGAUGUUCAUACCUGCACAACUGAAAUGCAAUUAUCUGAAAUGACUCAUUUGUACUACGUUUUAAUACAUUGAACUUAGUUUGUUGUUUUUUUUUCGAUGUGAUGUGCCAUCGCGUAUUGGGCUAUUUUGCUUAUCCAAAUGAAGGAGGAAUUUGUUAUAUUAUAGUAUGUGCAUUAAACACUAAAGUUGUAUACAUGUACACAUGUUUAAAUAUUCUUUAAAUUUCUUCCUUAUAAAAAAAGAACAUGACUUUUAUAUAAACUUUGAUGUGCUAGAUUCUCAUUUCCAUUUGCUCUUUAGAUGUGUCGAUCCCACCUAGAUCUUUUGUCAACGCCCAAAUAUAAGACUUGUGUUAUGUGGAAACCGUGGAUAGAAUGUCAUUGAUGUCGGGUUUACUAUUUAAAUUAUCCUUUUUUCCAUUUUUAAUUUUAGGACAAAUUAUUUGAAACUAAAUAAGUAAAUAUUUUUACGGAAGAAAAAUUAAAGGCAGAAUUCAAAAGUUAGCUUAAAUUUAUAUUUGAACGAAAUUACAGUUUUGGACAAUAUAGAGGAAGUAAAAUAUAAUAAAGAUAAUUAUUUUGACGUCACACCGAUUACUAUGGUUUUGUUUAUAUAUAAAAUGUACACAAUACUCUGAAUAAAACACUUGUUUUUGCCCUUCGGUUACUCAUGUAAUCGACUGAACAAAAUUGAUAAUGUUUAGAUUCACAUGUCAAUCUACAGAAUAAAUGCAUUUUUAUU